AAUCAACGCUGGCGGCGUGCCUAACACAUGCAAGUCGAACGCGAAGACCCCGCAAGGGGUUUGUAGCGUGGCAAACGGGUGAGUAACACGUGGGUGACCUGCCUUCGAGCGGGGGAGUAACGUUCCGAAAGGGACGCUAAUACCGCAUGACAUCCUGCCUUUGAAGAGGCGGAGAUCAAAGCCGGGGAUCGCAAGACCUGGCACUUGAAGAGGGGCCCGCGCCUGAUUAGCUAGUU
rnacentral:rRNA from 1 species